rnacentral:rRNA from 1 species
GACGAACGCUGGCGGCGUGCUUAACACAUGCAAGUCGAACGGACAGGCCCUGCUUUUGUGGGGUGCUCGAGUGGCGAACGGGUGAGUAACACGUGAGUAACCUGCCCUUGACUUUGUGAUAACUUCAGGAAACUGGGGCUAAUACCGGAUAGGAGCUCCUGCUGCAUGGUGGGGGUUGGAAAGUUUCGGCGGUUGGGGAUGGACUCGCGGCUUAUCCGCUUGUUGGUGGGGUAGUGGCUUACCAAGGCUUUGACGGGUAGCCGGCCUGAGAGGGUGACCGGCCACAUUGGGACUGAGAUACGGCCCAGACUCCUACGGGAGGCAGCAGUGGGGAAUAUUGCACAAUGGGCGGAAGCCUGAUGCAGCAACGCCGCGUGCGGGAUGACGGCCUUCGGGUUGUAAACCGCUUUCGCCUGUGACGAAGCGUGAGUGACGGUAAUGGGUAAAGAAGCACCGGCUAACUACGUG